rnacentral:misc_RNA from 1 species
GUCUCGCCAUGCUGCUCCUGGGCCUGCUGCUGCUGCUGCCCCUGCUGGCUGGCGCCCGCCUGCUGUGGAACUGGUGGAAGCUCCGGAGCCUCCACCUCCCGCCUCUUGCCCCGGGCUUCUUGCACUUGCUGCAGCCCGACCUCCCAAUCUAUCUGCUUGGCCUGACUCAGAAAUUCGGGCCCAUCUACAGGCUCCACCUUGGGCUGCAAGAUGUGGUGGUGCUGAACUCCAAGAGGACCAUUGAGGAAGCCAUGGUCAAAAAGUGGGCAGACUUUGCUGGCAGACCUGAGCCACUUACCUACAAGCUGGUGUCUAGGAACUACCCGGACCUGUCCUUGGGAGACUACUCCCUGCUCUGGAAAGCCCACAAGAAGCUCACCCGCUCAGCCCUGCUGCUGGGCAUCCGUGACUCCAUGGAGCCAGUGGUGGAGCAGCUGACCCAGGAGUUCUGUGAGCGCAUGAGAGCCCAGCCCGGCACCCCUGUGGCCAUUGAGGAGGAAUUCUCUCUCCUCACCUGCAGCAUCAUCUGUUACCUCACCUUCGGAGACAAGAUCAAGGUGCCUCACAGCCCCUCAGGCCCACC